rnacentral:rRNA from 1 species
UAGGGAAUCUUCGGCAAUGGGGGCAACCCUGACCGAGCAACGCCGCGUGAGUGAAGAAGGUUUUCGGAUCGUAAAGCUCUGUUGUAAGAGAAGAACGUGUGUGAGAGUGGAAAGUUCACACAGUGACGGUAACUUACCAGAAAGGGACGGCUAACUACGUGCCAGCAGCCGCGGUAAUACGUAGGUCCCGAGCGUUGUCCGGAUUUAUUGGGCGUAAAGCGAGCGCAGGCGGUUUAAUAAGUCUGAAGUUAAAGGCAGCGGCUUAACCAUUGUUCGCUUUGGAAACUGUUAAACUUGAGUGCAGAAGGGGAGAGUGGAAGUCCAUGUGUAGCGGUGAAAUGCGUAGAUAUAUGGAGGAACACCGGUGGCGAAAGCGGCUCUCUGGUCUGUAACUGACGCUGAGGCUCGAAAGCGUGGGGAGCAAACAGG